rnacentral:rRNA from 1 species
AUGGCCUCCACGCUGACGAGCUUCGUGGCCGUGGCGCUCCUCAUGGCCGUCAUGCUCAGCACGUGCGGUGCUGCACGCCUCCUCGCCAACAUCCCGGCCUUGCCCGAACCGACGCUGCCGACCUUGCCCCCGGUCGUUCCCACGGUCCCUGCCCUGCCAGGCGGCGUCGUGCCGACCGUGCCAGAAGUGCCGACGGUGCCGCUGCCAACAGUACCCAGCGGUGUCGUGCCAACCAUCCCGACGGUUCCCACCGUGCCGGAGGUGCCGACGGUGCCCAACGUGCCGGAGGUGCCUGCGGUGCCGCUGCCAACAGUACCUGGCGGCGUGGUGCCGACCGUCCCGACGGUUCCCAGCGUGCCGACCAUCCCAACGGUUCCCACCGUGCCAGGUGUGCCGGCGGUGCCGCUGCCAACAGUACCCAGCGGCGUAGUGCCGACCGUCCCGACGGCGCCGUUACCGGCAGUACCCGGCGCCGUCGUGCCAGCAGUGCCAACCGUGCCAGGGGUGCCAACGUUGCCUCUCCCGACGAUGCCGUCCAUCCCCAGCUUGCCUAACUUGCCACUGCCGCCUAUGCCGUCCAUCCCCGGUGACCUGCCCAAGGUACCAGUGCCAUUACCACCAAUUCCGUCCAUCCCCGGCGACCUGCCCAAGCUGCCGGUGCCUCUGCCGCCGAUGCCGUCCCUUCCCGACCUGCCUAAGGUGCCACUGCCCCCGGUGCCGUCCAUCCCUGGCGUGCCUAAGAUACCACUGCCGUCUGUUCCAGGUGUGCCGGCCGUGCCGUAG